UUAGGACUCACAGCAGAGCACUUCCUUCAGAAGACCUCUGGUUUCUGACUCCAGGAAUCCUCCUUCUGCUCCACAGCCACUCCAAGGGCUCUGCUUUGGACUAUAAUUUAUAAGAAGCCUGGGCUUUGGAGUCAGACACAUCCAAGUUCAGAGCCCACCUUGAUGCUGUGAGAUCCUGGCAAAGCCACCCACUCCCUCUGAAAAGUGGAUUGCGGAGAUUAAGAGAGACUACUGAAGUGCCACGUUUAGGCUGACAUCAGGAGCACCGGUGAUACCUCCUUCCCAUGUUGCGAAAGCUUUGAUUUUGACCCAUCCUUGAGUCCUGAAGCUUGAACUCUGACCAGCCUGGGGAAGCUCAUUCGAUUGUGAAAUGGACACUAUCAGGUUGCCUUUAAAAUACGUAAUAAAACACACCUUCAGAUUCAAACCUACAGGUAAUCUUCUCACAGAUGAAAUGGUUCAUAUAACAUUAGUGACACCACAAAAUACCAUAUUACAGCUCGUGACUUACCAUCAUGCCUUUUACAUUCUGCAAGACUGCUGAAUCUUAUUUUUGUUAAAAGUUAUCAUGUUGUCAAUUUUCUAAUCUAAUUCCUAAUCAUGAAAAUGUACCCUGAUUUCUAUUUCACUCGAGCCAGUAAUAAAAUAUUGUUUUCCUGUUUUAUCAUCGAUUUUCUGUGGUUAUCAUGGUGUCGUCAUUUAUUACUGUUGAUGGUUCCUAACAUAUGUUUUGACAUCCAAGGCAUAGAUUGUAAAAUUCAGUGAAAAUAUAUUGAAAAUUUAUAAGGGCUGGACGACCGUGGAGUUGUUGCUGACAUGUGGCAUUUCUUCAUGAAAGACUGAGAACAUGUGAUCACACAAGGAUUUCUCACUCAUUCAGAUAAUUGUCAUACAAUGGCUCUGUCCCAGGCUGUGUGCCUUAGGUUCCAGGGUUGCAGUGAUGAGGGAAACCCUGCCCUCACCUUGCAGAGAUCAAAUUCCAGCGGCGGUGACGGACCUGUGAGAAGACAUGCACAGCAUUGAGUCACUAAGUUAGCUAAACCUUAGGAUUGUGUAUAUCUUUAAAGAAGACAAAAUGCUUUCACAUUUAUUAUCUUAUUUGAUCUUUA
rnacentral:lncRNA from 1 species